AUGUUUGAAUCAAAAAUGAAAGAAAGAAAAUCAAAGAAUUUUGGGACCAAAAUCAAGAGCCAGGCCAUCAUCAUCGCGAAACUCCGACACUUCAGCCACACAACCUCUGCGCUGCAGAUCCGCUCUGCACCACGACGCUGCUCUAAAAUCGCACUCACCGACGAAUCCGCCGUAGAAGAAACCCGCCAAUAA